UAGAAAAAUUAGAAUUGAUAAAAUUAUUAACAUGCUAGCAUGUGGUAUGCUCAUACAUAGCAAGAUAGCAAAAUGCUAACAUGCUAAUCGUAAACUUAGUAAAAUAUAGCAAGAUACCAGAGUAGAGGAAGUGCUAAGGUAGAUAAAUCAUCACAUCAUUGGUUGCUACGUAGUCAAGUAAUAUUUCAAUGAGAAUUCAUAAAAUGCUGGUGUGCUAACAAAUAAGGGCAUGGCAGCAGCCUGAGUAGAGAAAGCGUUAAGGUAGACUGAAAGGCCUCUGCACCUGAGCUGGAGUUAAGUGUUAUUUCAAACUGGUAAAAUGAUAACUGUCGAUUUGUUAGAAGAAGAAGAAGAAGGUAGCAAUCGAAGCAGGGAAAGUGGUAAGCCAUCCGUCAGGAUUUUAUUGUCAUCUUAGAAUUGAUAAAUGGCAUGCUGACAAUUGAUAACAAGUUAUCACUUUCUAUCUCUUACCGUAGCUUUUUAAGGCACGUGUCCAUAACAAACUUUCCUACGUCCUGUCUUUUCAUGUUUUAUUUUCACAGAGAUGGGUUUAGUGACAGACUUUGAAUGGAGCCACAAGUGUUUGUCAUGACAACUAAUUAGCCAUUACAAAAGCAGCUGGGGCUAAGUAAGGCCAUUAGGUGCUGAAAGAAAAUGGAGUUGUCGUCACCGGGUUUCUCUCUUCACAUCCAAACAUGUGGCAAAAUGAUCGGGAAAAGAUGUAAAUGCUUGUCAUCCAUUUAUUUCAAUCAAUAAAGGCAGACACCUGAAGAAGCUCAGCACACAGAAAGAGCAUCAAGCUCCCUGGUCGAUCCAGUCAAGUCAGUGUGCAAAGUACCUACAAUGCCUCUGUCACCGCACGACGGAAGUUGUUACUUAUUGGAACUGCAGCGAAGGGAGCUUCCUUGAAAUGGACAUACACCAGGUGGUGUAAGGUGGCUUUCCUGUCUCAACCCAGCUGACUUUGGGCAAGAGGUGGGCUGAACUGAUCGGCAGCCAAUGAAGAGCCACAAAAAUGGAUCGGUAACAUUUUCAUAAUAUUACAUUUUUACAAUUUUAACCAACUCAAUGAAGAGAGCGCACUCUUUUUUUAUGUGGUAGGCAGUAAUAGCCUUUAUUACAACCACAAAAAAAAACAGACUGGUUCUGACAAUCGUUGACAUGUUGCAGUUAACCAAACCGCACUGUGAGUGUGUACCUGAUGAUAAAAUACCACCUUGAUAUUUUCCGGUGUUUCCAAAAUGCCGCAUGACCACUAUUUAGUGCAGCGGAUCAAUUAAGUUCAGAGCCUGCACUAGCACAGUGAUCGUUACGUCACUGGUUCAUUUCCAAUGUAAAGUAACACAUGACCCUUUACGUGAUUUCCCACUCACAAGGUGAAUGAUGACACAAGUGGAUUUUGGGCCUUGGAAGGCAAGAUACGAGGAGCUGUCAUUGUGAAAAACAUGUUGCCUCUUUGCUCACGAUUGAAAAUUAGUCGAGCUGCCGUGUCAUAUUUUUCUGUGUGUUCUCACUGACCGUGAUAGC